rnacentral:rRNA from 1 species
UACGUAGGGUGCAAGCGUUAAUCGGAAUUACUGGGCGUAAAGCGUGCGCAGGCGGUUUUGUAAGACAGUGGUGAAAUCCCCGGGCUCAACCUGGGAACUGCCAUUGUGACUGCAAGGCUAGAGUACGGCAGAGGGGGGAUGGAAUUCCGCGUGUAGCAGUGAAAUGCGUAGAUAUGCGGAGGAACACCGAUGGCGAAGGCAAUCCCCUGGGCCUGUACUGACGCUCAUGCACGAAAGCGUGGGGAGCAAACAGG